AUGCUGAGGAGGUGGCGUGUUAGCCUCUAUCGCAGACUCAGAAAUUCAUUAAUAAAGUGAAUUUACACACAAAAACUUGAAGCAAUCUCACAUGCAGGUAAUUUCCAAAGAGCUUCAGCUGUUUGCCCUACAGUAUUACACGGGCUGUGCAGGCUACAGCGUCACUACAGUCUUAUCAGAUUACAGCACUUCUGAUCUCCCUAUGGUCUGUAAAUCACGUGCUUUAUUGUAAGACAGACCUGCCAGGCUCCCUAACUACUGCCCUGUACAACAACAAAGACCUAACCAUCUGCAGGCUGGAGGUAUACUCCACUGCAGUUUCUCCCACCAACAUAAAAAAAAAAAAAAAAAAAACACCUCUUCACUAAACCUGCAGUCUCCUCUGUUUUUUACAUCCUAACAGAGAAGAAGCCUAUCUGAAGCUUCCUCUGUUGUUGAGUUUAAUAUUGACAAGCCAUCACCAGCUCAAUGAUGGCCAUAUGGACAAAAUAACUGACCACAUCACUGAUAUGUAAACAUUUGUCUCUGCCUGCCUGGAUCAAUAUUGUGAAAUUAAUGUAUGUAGUCUAAGGCGGCAGUAAAAGACUUUGCCCAUCAUCGGUUACUUAUUUUGAUAAUUUGAUUAAUCGUUGAGUCGAUAAAAUUUAUAAUAAAAUUUUCUUAAACAAUUAAAUAUAUAAAAAUUGUUGUCUAUGAAUUUACUGACACUUGACUAAUGGAUUAAUGGACUAUCUGUUUUGGCAUUAAUUUAGUCUGACUGGGGUAAAGACAGGAAAGUCUGGUUGAUCUUCAAAACGAGCUUUGUAUUCAGGUUUGAAAUUAAAGCUAAAAACAUACAGCUUUUCUAACACCUGAUAUCCAAUAAUCAUUUAUAAAAGGAUCCAUUGUCAUCUAUCAAUUUAACUCACACCUGAAAGACACACCUUCACUCUUGCCCUCUGAGUAUUGUGAAUAGGCAUUGUAAGUGUUGUUGCAUAAAUACUUGUGUUUUCAUGAUGCGCAGUUCAUAAUUGCUGUUAUAAUUUCAUGUAACAAAUAUAACUUAAUUUGGUGUAAAGAUAAAAUGUAAUACAUGUUUAAGAACUAAAGGGUAGAAUAAGCUGCUAAAUGAUAUGUGGUUAACAGUGUAUCUAUCUCAUUCUGUAUAUUUACGUUUGUCCCGGAACUAAUGUUUUCUGUCUGUGUUACCGCUACAACGGUUUAAGUCGACACUCACUGCCUUGAAUUCCGGCGGAGCAGAUAGCUCCGAUGCUUGUUAAACUGCAUAAAAGUUAAAAAUGUGGUUUGAAGUUAAUACAGACGACCAAAUGGACAUUCAAGAGACUUCAAAGAACUUAGUAACCUCUUUUCACGACAAGCGGCCAACGAGUUCUCACGGCGUAUAAGGCAUAUACGACGUUCAAGGCGUACAUGGUGUGAAGCUGGAUGUACCAAAGAGACCCGAUGUGCCCACAGCAAUAAACGCCCGUUGCAAAGAAC